CUACGGGUUGCUGCAGUGGGGAAUAUUGCACAAUGGAGGAAACUCUGAUGCAGCAACGCCGCGUGGAGGAUGACACUUUUCGGAGCGUAAACUCCUUUUAUAUAGGAAGAAGAUGACGGUACUAUAUGAAUAAGCGCCGGCUAACUCCGUGCGCAGCAGCCGCGGUAAUACGGAGGGCGCAAGCGUUACUCGGAAUCACUGGGCGUAAAGAGCGUGUAGGCGGAAUAAAAAGUCAGAAGUGAAAUCCUAUAGCUUAACUAUAGAACUGCUUCUGAAACUCUUAAUCUAGAAUAUGGGAGAGGUAAAUGGAAUUUCUGGUGUAGGGGUAAAAUCCGUAGAGAUCAGAAGGAAUACCGAUUGCGAAGGCGAUCUACUAGAACAUUAUUGACGCUGAGACGCGAAAGCGUGGGGAGCAAACAGGAUUAGAUACCCCGGUAGUC
rnacentral:rRNA from 1 species